rnacentral:misc_RNA from 1 species
GAUGAAGAACGUAGCGAAAUGCGAUACGUAAUGUGAAUUGCAGAAUUCAGUGAAUCAUCGAGUCUUUGAACGCACAUUGCGCCCCCUGGUAUUCCGGGGGGCAUGCCUGUCCGAGCGUCAUUGCUGCCCUCAAGCACGGCUUGUGUGUUGGGCCUCCGUCCUCCUCCCGGGGGACGGGCCCGAAAGGCAGCGGCGGCACCGCGUCCGGUCCUCGAGCGUAUGGGGCUUCGUCACCCGCUCUUGUAGGCCCGGCCGGCGCUUGCCGACACAUCAAUCUUUUUUCCAGGUUGACCUCGGAUCAGGUAGGGAUACCCGCUGAACUUAAGCAUAUCAAUAGCGGAGGA